rnacentral:rRNA from 1 species
AGAUAAUAGAUACCCGGGUAGUCCACGCCCUAAACGAUGCAUAUUUGGUGUAGGUCAUUCAGUUGAUCUGUGCCGGAGCUAACGCGUUAAAUAUGCCGCCUGGGGAGUACAGUCGCAAGGCUGAAACUCAAAGGAAUUGACGGGGGCCCGCACAAGCGGUGGAGCAUGUGGUUCAAUUCGACGCAACGCGAAGAACCUUACCUGGGCUCGAACGGCCGGUUAACGGCGGUGGAAACACCGCUAUCCCGCAAGGGAGUCCGGUCGAGGUGCUGCAUGGCUGUCGUCAGCUCGUGUCGUGAGAUGUUGGGUUAAGUCCCGCAACGAGCGCAACCCUUGUCCUGUGUUGCCAUCCCGCAAGGGGGGACUCGCAGGAGACCGCCAGCGAUAAGCUGGAGGAAGGUGGGGAUGACGUCAAGUCCUCAUGGCCUUUAUGUCCAGGGCUACACACGUGCUACAAUGGCCGGUACAAAGCGCAGCUAAGCCGCGAGGUGGAGCCAAUCGCAAAAAACCGGUCUCAGUUCGGAUUGCAGG